GUAGUCAGCAUAGAGAUUCCUUCAGAAAGUAGGAAAAUCAAAGAAAAGGAAAAGAAACACAAUGAAUAACAGAGAUUGAAAGAAGUAAAUAUAACAAUAAAUAUAUAAAUAUACACACACAUGAGAAAAAAAAUUUGAUAAACCCUAAAUCAUAUCAGCAGUUGACAAGUCAAGUUUAGGACUAUAGUUAAGGUAUUCGCAAAUAUAAAAAAUUCUCUGAGAUUAGAAAAGUGAAUUUGAAAAUGCACCAAUUACCAAUAUUGACGAAAAUCAGACAAAAAAGAAUUGCAGACUUGCCAAAUUCCUGCUUGCUUUAGGAUUAUCAUGCUUUCUCAUUUUUUGCAAAUUUUAAAAUUGAUCCGUGUUUAGUCAGGU
rnacentral:misc_RNA from 1 species